rnacentral:hammerhead_ribozyme from 1 species
AUUCAGAUGACGAGUCCCAAAUAGGACGAAACGCGCGUCCUGAAU